UACGGGGGGGGCAAGCGUUGUUCGGAAUUACUGGGCGUAAAGGGCUCGUAGGUGGCCAACUAAGUCGGACGUGAAAUCCCUCAGCUUAACUGGGGAACUGCGUCCGAUACUGGAUGGCUCGAGUUUGGGAGAGGGAUGCGGAAUUCCAGGUGUAGCGGUGAAAUGCGUAGAUAUCAGGAGGAACACCGAUGGCGAAGGCAGGUCUCUGGGCUGACACUGACGCUCAUGCACGAAAGCGUGGGGAGCAAACAGG
rnacentral:rRNA from 1 species